GGUGGAGGGUGAGGAGCUCGUUCCCCAGGUGACUUGGAGCCAGGAGGGUGCUCACGUGAGGGGACAGGGGACGGGCAGUUUGGAGAAGUCACAUCUUGGCCUCGUGCUCAAGACACAUGAGUAGGAGCUCGGGCUUUUGCAAAGUCACGUCGGUUUCCUACACUGCGUUCCCAUCACCCUGUCACCAUCCCAAAAGACCCACGUGAGCUGUGCUGAUUUGCAUUUUGAGACAUGGCCGGAUCUGCAAGGUCAGAGACCAGAGGGUCAACUAUGGACACCUCUUGUGGCAAAGCAACAGACAGGCCACGUCACUUUAGCUUUCACCUUUCUGUGUUUCAGAUGAGGAGAAGAAAACGUUAGGCUCCUUUCGGUUAAAAAAUAAGCAACAAACAAAAACCUUGCAUCUAGCCUGGCAGCCUGGUUAGCCUGUGCUCCUGCUCCUGUCCACAGGGCUCCCGGGCGGCUUCCACACUAGGGGCCAUGUUGCUUCAAGAGUCCUGAUGGUCAACGCCUUCUCCCUCCACUAAAUUACCCGCAGACGUGGAGCAGAGUUUGCUGCCAAUUAAUUCAUAAAAUGAAAUAUUUUGUAUGCAAAUCUAAUUUCUUAGCUGUCAGCUUGUAUUUGCCAAUGUGGCAAGAUUUUAUUUGUUUCUAUUAUAAAACCAAAUCCCUAAAACUCUAAGUUCUUAAUAUUUUGGAAUUUCAAUUAUCCACCGUGAUUGUAUCUCUAUUUAUGGUCGCAUUUGCAUGCAGUGAGAGCUGGCGGUAAACAAAAGUGACGUUUGAAGUGGGAAGAGCUGUUUGAACCUCCAGCGAGAGCUUGAUACUGUUAUUUGCCCGAGAAAAGUCAUUUUCCGGCCAUGUCAUUCCUUCAGCCCGCGACGUUGCCCACACGCAGCCCCCAGCCCCUGCUGCUCUCAUAUGGUGAGCCGCGACACCCGACUGGAAAGGAGGAGAGAGCUCAGCAGAAGACAGAGGGCUCACAGAAGUCCAUGCCACGAAGGCCGAAUUCUCCCAGUGCAGGACAAGCGUUGCCAGCAGUGAUGGAAGAGUCCCUGCCUUCCACUGUCAAGAGGGAGUGAAUGGAGGAGGAGUGGGAGAGAGAAAGAAAGCAGAGGCGGGAAUACAUGGAUGAGCAGUGAAGUCUUGGAUGGGCAGGUGUGUAAACGCAGAGUCUCCGAGGAGACCAGCCUAAUUGAUGGAGGAGUGAGGCAGCUGCUACUGAGCUCACAGGGUUCACAUGCUCACCCUCUGCAUCAGGGCUAUUUUGAUCACGUUCAGAGGCCCCUUUUAUUUUAGGAGGUAGAGUGUAUGUAGCGCUCAUCACCUCCAUUUGAUGGUUGUGGAGAUGCGUAGAUGGGCAAACAAUUUGCUAGAGGUUUCUCAGCUCACAAGUAGGAGGGGCAGGAUUCCAAUCCUGUUCCUGGCUCUUUAUUCCUGUGCCAGAGAAACGUGAGAGCAGGAAGACCUGGCCCCUUCUCAGGUGAGGCCAGGGGAGGAUGGCCAGUCCCACAUCCUGUUGCCUGAGUCCCUGGGACCAGUGGUGAUAGGAGUAAUAUCCUAUCACCUGGAACAGUAGGAACCUGUGGGGUGACAGAGAGGCCCCGCCUAGCACUUACUUUGCCUGAGUCCCCUGGACCAGUGGUGAUAGGAGUAAUAUAAAGUCCUGGAGCAGUAGGAACCUGUGGGGGUGAGAGAGACCUCCCACCUUGCACUUGCCUUUUGCCCCGGCACAGGCCUGCGUUUUACAUGCUUUCCGACAUGAAGGGAAACAUGGUGGGGUCCACUGCGGAUGACCGAGAGCACACAGAAAAUUCACUCUUCCUCAGGCACUAGCCUCAACAUUUGCUCCCCUUUUCAGAUAAUGAUGGUCCUCUUUGCUUGGCUUAUAGCGGUAGCUAUUUGGGGGAUUAGGGAUAAACCAGACUUAGAUCAUAUUAGCCCAUCUUUCUCCCAGAGAACUCCUUAACAGGUAAUCUGGGAUGCAGAAUGCAGUGUCAGUAGUUUAGCUUGUAGGUUGCUUCUUCCUCUCGUCCCUAAUUUUCCCAUUGGUGGCAGCUCAGCUGGCGUGCACUUUCCCAGAAAAGCGUGAAUUGGGAGCAUAAUGUGAUUCCAUGGCUGCCUUCUAAUACAACUCUUGCG
rnacentral:lncRNA from 1 species